ensembl:rRNA 5S_rRNA 5S ribosomal RNA
GCUUACGACCACACCGGCCUGAGUACGCCUGAAUCUCGUCUGAUCUCGGAAGCUAAGCAGGGUCGGGCCUGGUUAGUACUUGGAUGGGAGACUUCCUGGGAAUACCAGGUGCUGUAAGCU